rnacentral:rRNA from 1 species
GACGAACGCUGGCGGCAUGCCUAAUACAUGCAAGUCGAGCGAACAGAUGAAGUGCUUGCCCUUCUGACGUUAGCGGCGAACGGGUGAGUAACACGUAAGGAAUCUACCUAUAAGCGGGGGAUAACAUUCGGAAACGGGUGCUAAUACCGCAUAAUAUCUUCUUCCGCAUGGAAGAAGAUUGAAAGACGGCUCUGCUGUCACUUAUAGAUGACCUUGCGGUGCAUUAGUUAGUUGGUGGGGUAACGGCCUACCAAGACGAUGAUGCAUAGCCGACCUGAGAGGGUGAUCGGCCACAUUGGGACUGAGACACGGCCCAAACUCCUACGGGAGGCAGCAGUAGGGAAUCUUCCGCAAUGGGCGAAAGCCUGACGGAGCAAUGCCGCGUGAGUGAAGAAGGCCUUCGGGUCGUAAAACUCUGUUAUAAGAGAAGAACAAAUUGUAGAGUAACUGCUACAGUCUUGACGGUAUCUUAUCAGAAAGCCACGGCUAACUACGUG